GGUGGCUCAGUGGCAGAGCACUUGCCUUGCAUGCAUGAGACCCUGGGUUCGAUUCCUCAGCACCA
rnacentral:tRNA from 1 species